rnacentral:rRNA from 1 species
CAAUAGCGUAUAUUAAAGUUGUUGCAGUUAAAAAGCUCGUAGUUGGAUUUCUGGUCGGAAGCUCCUGUCCUCUGAUGAGAGUACAAGUGCGUCCUACCAUCCUUCUGUUAACCUUUAAGGCUUUCGCGGCUUUCUAGGGGCUCAGAUAUUUUACCUUGAGAAAAUUAGAGUGUUUCAGGCAGGCUAGCGCCGGAAUACAUUAGCAUGGAAUAAUGGAAUAGGACUUUUGCCUCUUCUGUUGGUCAUGAGGCUCGAGUAAUGAUUAAUAGGGAUAGUUGGGGGCAUUAGUACUUAACUGUCAGAGGUGAAAUUCUCGGAUUUGUUAAAGACUAACUUAUGCGAAAGCAUUUGCCAAGGAUNUUUUCNUUAA